rnacentral:rRNA from 1 species
GCAGGCCCUAACACCUGCCAGUCGAGCGGAUGAAGAGAGCUUGCUUUCUGAUUCAGCGGCGGACGGGUGAGUAAUGCCUAGGAAUCUGCCUGAUAGUGGGGGACAACGUUUCGAAAGGAACGCUAAUACCGCAUACGUCCUACGGGAGAAAGCAGGGGACCUUCGGGCCUUGCGCUAUCAGAUGAGCCUAGGUCGGAUUAGCUAGUUGGUGAGGUAACGGCUCACCAAGGCGACCAUCCGUAACUGGUCUGAGAGGAUGAUCACCCCCACUGGAACUGAGACACGGUCCAUACUCCUACGGGAGGCAGCCUGGGGAAUAUUGGACAAUGGGCGAACGCCUGAUCCACCCAUGCCGCGUGUGUGAAGAAGGUCUUCGGAUUGUAAAGCACUUUUAGUUGGUAGGAAGGGCAUUAACCUAAUACUUUAGUGUU